rnacentral:lncRNA from 10 species
GAAAAGGUGGGGGUUUGCAAAGGGAGUAACUUCUGGUUCCUUUGUUACUUAGGUAUGGAAAGUUAGGGUUUUCCUUUCACUUUAGUUCUAGGAAGUCAGCGUGAAACGCCUGAAGUUUUCUGCCUCCAGACUCUACUCUCCUGCCUCAAUUCUACUCUCUACUUUUAUAAGCUCGACUCACAUGACGAAAGCCCUCAUCAGAUGCUUACAUCAUGAUCUUGGACUUCCCAGCCUCCAGACUGAUGCUAUGGAAGAUCAGAAAAUAUAAAUUUAUGAACUGCUAUAAACUGUUAUUUUCUUCGUGAAGAUCAGCACAACAAGAUGUUCCAGACUUAUUCAACAUAUUGUCCAGCCAGUCCUGGAAACAAUCAGUUCCCUGAGGACAGAAUUAAAGUUUAGAGACCUGAAUCUGGGCCCCAGGGGUGGUCAUUACUACUGGUUUGCCACUGCUUCUGUAGCUUUUCAGUGAAGAGGUAGUUAUGUAAUAUGUAUCUAAAAAAAUAAAUUCAAGUUAUGUAUUUUAAAAAUAAAUUCAAGGUCUAUAUAUUUUAGAAAAAGGAAAAAUCAUGUGUUCAUGUUAAUAUUUAUAUUUAAAUAUAUAAUUACAUGUCUUAAUUUAUGUUGUUCUACCUUGAUAAUUCUAUACCUCUAUUAUUUUGCUUUUAUACCUUUUCUCCCCAAAUUUUCUUAAAUUGAAACUCUUGGUUCCUAAUUACAUGUACAUACUUAUUUAUCUUAUACCAUAUACAUAUAGUAAUUUCAAAAUAACAAUACAAACAUUAUUAUCAUUAACAAUAAUGCUGCCGAAUAAAGCUUGUGAUUUCUUUGUGGAGAUUUUCAUACUUGGGAUAUAUCUCACUAGUGAUACUAAAAAAAACCUGCGUUUUAAAGUCACUCGAAAUAAUUUUUCCCUGUGUGGUUUUGUCAACAAUUUGAUAUGCAGUUAGAUCCCUUUACUUCAAAAAAUUUUGAGUAACUGCUUAGCUUUUAUUUUUGAAAUAAUCACAGUUUUUGAUUACAUAGAUAGAGCAUAAAGCAUUUACAGGGUUCCAAAGUGUGUGUGUAUGUGUACAUAUGUAUACAAAUAUGUAUACAUGUCUAUGUAAAUACACAUACACACACACACACACACACACACACACACACACACAUAUUCAGAGACAUCCAUCUUCUGUCCCUGUGUCUUUUGCCAUAAGUAACCAUCCUAAUAAUUUUUAUUUUAUCAUUCUAUGGUUUCAAAAUAAAAGCAAAUUUAUAGUUAUAGUCUUUAUUUGAAAGUAUUUCUUUAAAUUCAAAAAUCAGAAAAACUUUCAAACAUUGUCUUAUUUUGCUUGACCUGGACUUGUAAUUAGAUGACUAUAUCAGAUAGAAGAUUGCUUCAUUUUGCAGUAUUUUAGAGCCAGAGAGUAGGACAACUUUUAAUCAGAGACAGCAAGUACUAUAAAUCCUGAAGGAAAUGUAAGCGGCAUCUUAUAAAUGGAAUAUCAACUCAUAUUCAUAUAGUGAUUUUCAUUUUACACAGUAAUUUCACUAUGCAUUUAUUAAUUUAAUUUUCACAAUAGCCUUAUAAGUUUAUCUCCAUUUUACAAAUUUAAAAAUGAGACAUGGGAUAAAAAUGACUUUCCCCAGGCCUUCCCAAGUUCACACAGCUAAUUCUUGACAGAGGUAAGAGAAGAAUUCAGGUCUUCUGCCUCUAACUCUGCAUCAUAUGAUACUGCAUCUCAAAUUACUUGCAAAUACAUAUGGAACUCCUGUGUGUCUUAAACCAUAUUUUCUGUAGUUGCCAUAAGUUACUCCAAAUGAGUGUUAGAAUUAUAAAAUUCUCUAUUCCCUUUUAGGAGAGUCAUGAUACAAAUUGACAUUAAUUAGUCUCUAAAACUUUAUGUAUUAUUGGAAUAUGUUUAAUUUUGUAUUUCUUAAUGCUUCCCAAUUUUACAAGACCACAGAACAUCCCUCUACCUACUCCCGCCAAAUCUGGACUAAACCUGAAAAGAUAUCAAAGGAACAUAGCUUUUUAUUAAGUGUGAGUUAAUCCAUGAACGAUAGCUUCAAUCAGCAGUAAUUUUCUUAACAUAAUUCAUGCCUGAGGAUUAUAUUCAGUUUAGCUGGACAUCUAUGGCACACCAUAAGCCAAAUUUUGAAGAUUAUUCAUGUUAGAAUUGGAUUCAGUCGAUCCUUAGUGACUUAACAAUCAGGCCUUAAUUGAAACACACACACACAUUGUUAUUGACAGUGUAGAAAUACUGACUCAUAGAAAAAUUCACCCAUAUUUAGUUAGCAGACUAACAGGAACAGCAGCAGCAGCAGCAGCUGGUCAUGCUUCUGUGUGUUGCUAGCAACAAGAAACCAUGACAGCAAGGCCCCAAACAGGAACCUCCUGCAUUUUCUCAUCUGUGAUGAGGCACACUGAUGCUGGGGAUUAAUGAGCCUGAAGAUAUAAAGCAGUGUUUACCACUGGAAAAUGUCUCCUACACUAAAAGCAGAGGCACAUGCCACUGGCCCUCCAUGACACCUGCUCACCAGACACUGUCCUUCCACUUCAGAAGGAUACCGGAUCCUCAUCAGGCCGUCUGACUUCUUACCUUGGGAAUGAGAACCUUGACAGAGGAAGCCUCAGAACUGAAG